rnacentral:rRNA from 1 species
ACUCCUACGGGAGGCAGCAGUAGGGAAUUUUGCGCAAUGGACGAAAGUCUGACGCAGCAACUCCGCGUGAGGGAUGAAGGCCUUCGGGUUGUAAACCUCUGUUGAGUGGGAAGAAAAAGCCUUAUACUAAUAGUAUAAGGCCAUGACGGUACCAUUCGAGGAAGCUCCGGCUAACUACGUGCAGCAGCCGCGGUAAUACGUAGGGAGCUAGCGUUGUUCGGAAUCACUGGGCGUAAAGGGAGCGUAGGCGGAAAGGUAAGUUAGAAGUGAAACGUAUCGGCUCAACCGGUAACCUGCUUUUAAUACUGCUUUUCUUGAGUAUUGGAGAGGAUGAUGGAAUUCCAGGUGUAGCGGUGGAAUGCGUAGAUAUCUGGAAGAACACCAGUUGCGAAGGCGGUCAUCUGGCCAAAUACUGACGCUGAGGCUCGAAAGCUAGGGGAGCGAACAGGAUUAGAUACCCUGGUAGUCCUAGCCGUAAACGAUGGACACUAGAUGCCGGGAGUGUUAUGCUUUCGGUGUCGGAGCUAACGCAUUAAGUGUCCCGCCUGGGGAGUACGCUCGCAAGGGUGAAACUCAAAGGAAUUGACGGGGGCCCGCACAAGCGGUGGAGCAUGUGCUUUAAUUCGAUGCAACGCGAAUAACCUUACCUGGUCUUGACAUGGGAGUGAAAGUUCCUAGAGAUAGGAAUCCUUCCUUCGGGAACACUUCACACAGGUGCUGCAUGGUUGUCGUCAGCUCGUGUCGCGAGAUGUUGGGUUAAGUCCCGCAACGAGCGCAACCCCUGUCCUUAGUUGCCAGCACGUCAUGGNGGGAACUCUAAGGANACUGCCUGGNNUAACCAGNAGNANGGUGG